rnacentral:rRNA from 1 species
UACGUAGGGUGCAGGCGUUAAUCGGAAUUACUGGGCGUAAAGCGUGCGCAGGCGGUCUGCUAAGAGAGGUGUGAAAUCCCCGGGCUUAACCUGGGAACUGCGCUUCUAACUGGCAGGCUAGAGUGUGGCAGAGGGGGGGUGGAAUUCCACGUGUAGCAGUGAAAUGCGUAGAUAUCUGGAGGAACACCGGUGGCGAAGGCAGACGAUCCCUAGGACCGGG